GGUAUAGUAUAUAGGAGUUUCUAUGACCCAAGUUCGUUUUGUCUUACAAUCGACAAUUUCCGUGUGUUGCCGUUAUUCUCCGUGUGUGAUUUCGGCAUCCUUCUGUCAUGAUGGGAAAUUCCUUGAUGACGCUGCAAUUGUAUACUGAACAUAAAUCAGCGAAUGUCAUCUUCUAUCAGUUGUUUAUGUUUUAUCACUGUUUUCAACACAUAUUUUAUUUCUAUUGUUGUAGUUCGACAUAUCUUCUUUUUAAAAAUUUAAUUCAGUUUAAAUAAAAAUGUCGAAUUUUGGCUUCUUUUUUCAUUGAUCGAACUUCUUAACAAUAUGUUUUCAAAUGGGUAAUACAAGAAAAGAAUUCGAAAAAAAGCUAGCACUAUCUUUGUUCAUCUGUACCCCCACUAUGCUAGUUUUCGUAGCGUCUGAAAUUUGUAAGAAAGAGUGGACACCUUGAUAGAACCCCGCACAUCCAACAAGUGAACUUAAUGUUUUCCUCACAUGAAAGAAUUCUACUCCACACCGAGGUUUAGAACCUAUAUCGUCGAGAGGCAAGUAAAGUCACCGACCGUAGCCACUCGGGCAUGUAGGCCCGUCCUAGCAUUUAUAAAACUCUGAUCGUGUGGCGAAAUAUUCGAAUUUUUGUUCAUAGCAAAGAAAGUGACGUUCAAACAAUAAAAACACAAACAAUUUUAAUUAAGUAUUUUCCUUUAUAACAUAUAAACAACUUAGCUUUUAUUUUUUAACUUGUAAAGUAUGGAAUGGAAUGUCACUUAGAAUAUUUUUUUCAGGAUAGCCUCGUGUCUUAACUAUGCAGUGCGCCCCCUGGUGACACAUUGAUGCAUCCGGAUGAUACACAGCCAUCUUUCUGUUUGAUAGCAUGCGGUUCAUUGCAGAUUGUGACAGCAAAAAUGAUAUUAUGGCGAUAAGAGGAUGGUUAGAUACUGCAGCGACGAGAAUCAUUGAAGCUUACGUUGCCAACGUUACAGAUAGUGGACCCAGCAUAAAGACGUAUUACAUCACAGCGUUAUAUUUUACGUUUACGUGACUGACGUCAAUAGGAUUCGGAAACGUGUCACCAAAUACUAAGGAAUUGACAUGCCGGUAAAGAUGAUAUAUUUGGUGGUGACUGCAGUGACGUGGAAUGCUCGGGAAAAUCGUUCUAUUUUGUACGUGCCCUUAGUUACUGUGAUAUUAACAAGACAGAGUUACACGUGCUGAAAGAAACAAUGGAUAUAUAACCAGAAUUUUCAAAAAGAAUGAAUGGGUAAAAUACAAGUGACAUUCAAUCUUAAGAUGCUAAAUUGUGAUCUCUUUUGACAAAAGCUCGACGAAUGGGACCACAGAUCGGAGAAGAUGAGCCGACGUCUAGAGCAUUCGAAUUUUCUCCGCUAUCAGCAAGUAGUGGUAUAGAUACGGCGUUCAAAGACAGAUCAGUCAAGACGAACAGUUGACGGAUGUUUCAUUUCUCCAUCAGGUUCCAGCCAGUACGUCAAGGUUACAGUGUGUUUUCGGUGUAUCUAUAAGGUCAUAGUGUAACGCUGCGCGUGUUACGUCAAGUUUCUUUGGGGAAUUUUUUAGCUCAAAUUCAGUUUUUCGGGUAUUUAUUAUUUUUCGCUUGAGUCCACUUAAUUGAGGAAUUAGCAAAAUCCAGAUUCUAUUUCUUCUUUUAUUCAAUUUUCAACAACAAUAUAUGGAUGUCCACAUAAUAACAAUAAUUUCUAUAAACACAAUUAAAUCAAUUAAAACUUUGUAAUUAUCUAGUCGGAUAUCUCGACAUGAAACACAGAAGUAUGUCCUUCUUAUUUCGUAGGUAAAAAUCUUCUGUCUACAAUUAUUAUUGACUUUUUAUGAUGUUCAUGACAACAAUAAAAUUAACCAAUGAGAUUGCAGGAAACCUACAUGUCCCCUAGCAACAAAUCUCGCAUACCGCGAUACCUAGUGAGAUUUCACGUGAUUUCACGCGACCAGGGACCUCUGUCCUUGCGUGUCAAAAGAUUAUUAUCUCAUAAACAGAUAUUAAGAUUAUAUAAUAAAAUGGGUAACGUCUUUUGACGUCGUCAUUGACGUCGUACUUUCCUGUGACGUCAUACUAUUUUGUUAUUAUACUCUGAUGAAGUCCAAUGGACGAAACAUGUUAGUUUUGAAGUAAAAAGUAUAUUUCUGGAGUUAGUUCUUCGCUUUAUCUAUUACUUAUAUAAUAAAAUGCAGUAAGACCAUUAACAGACGUAUAAUAGCAAUUAGUUUGACACUGCAAGAUCUUAUCAAUGUUUAGUACGAAAUAAAACAUUUUUAUAAUGACAGCAUGUAAAUUCUUUUUGUUCUUUUAAAAUUAUUGACAAAGUUCGAGUUUUUACAUAUACAUGUACAACCAUUUUUAAACAUUUCUAAAACAAAUUUUUGAAAGUUUUAAACACUAAUGUCACCGCAUGACAAUUCUUAGAAACAUUAGACAGUUGAGCGCCCUCUGGUAGUCGGCGCAUUUCCAGCUUUGAGCGCCCUCUGAUAGUCGGCGCAUUUCCGGGAAGCUGGUGAUACAGCGCAAUCUGGAAAAAAAUGAGACAGACGUCGCUGUCUAACCUCGAGGAAAUCGACUGCAAGUGAAACUAUUUAGCAAAGUAUACGAAUAUAACAUGGAUUUUUAAGAUCUUCCUUGUUGAAGAAAUUUCAUGUAACAUGGUGCUGCCUUCCAGCCGCAUUGAAAUUAUAAAAAUGAGAUUAGUGUUUUGUAUUUUCACAUCCUAAAUGAAAUUCAGCAGCGUUAAAGACACGCCUCAAAAUAACUGUCUUCUUUCGUAUUUCAGUGAUAAUAGUAAUACCUAAUGCCUAAAAAAUAUUAGGUAUACAAGCAUUUAGUUUCAAAUUGACAGUGACAUAUAUUAAGCCAAGACGAUGAGUUAAAUGUCUUAAUAUUUUAUUGUAUAAUUAAAUGUAGCAAUAUGUACAUAAGUCAGUGUAUUUAGUUAAAUUUCAAUCACAUGUCCGGUCCAUAUCUUUGUCAUCCAUGGAUGGAUUUUCAAGUAACUACGCAUAAAUGUGUGGCACAGUAAGGCGACGUGUCGUGCACAAGACCCAGGUCCGUAGCUCAAAGGUCAAGGUCACACUUAGACUUUAAAGGUCAUAUUUCAUGAUAGUGCAUUGAUGGGCGUGUCCGGUCCAUAUCUUUGUCAUUCAUGCAUGGAUUUUAAAAUUAUUGGGCAUGAAUGUGUACCACAGUAAGACGACGUGUCGUCCUAAACUCUAACAUCGGCCAUAACUAUUCAGUCAAAGUGCCAUCGGAGGCAUAUGUUAUCCUAUGGAGACAGCUCUUGUUGUGUA